rnacentral:rRNA from 1 species
GACGAACGCUGGCGGCGUGCCUAAUACAUGCAAGUUGAGCGCUGAAGGUUGGUACUUGUACCAACUGGAUGAGCAGCGAACGGGUGAGUAACGCGUGGGGAAUCUGCCUUUGAGCGGGGGACAACAUUUGGAAACGAAUGCUAAUACCGCAUAAAAACUUUAAACACAAGUUUUAAGUUUGAAAGAUGCAAUUGCAUCACUCAAAGAUGAUCCCGCGUUGUAUUAGCUAGUUGGUGAGGUAAAGGCUCACCAAGGCGAUGAUACAUAGCCGACCUGAGAGGGGGAUCGGCCACAUUUGGACUGAGACACGGCCCAAACUCCUACGGGAGGCAGCAGUAGGGAAUCUUCGGCAAUGGACGAAAGUCUGACCGAGCAACGCCGCGUGAGUGAAGAAGGUUUUCGGAUCGUAAAACUCUGUUGGUAGAGAAGAACGUUGGUGAGAGUGGAAAGCUCAUCAAGUGACGGUAACUACCCAGAAAGGGACGGCUAACUACGUG